GACGAACGCUGGCGGCGUGCUUAACACAUGCAAGUCGAACGGAAAGGCCCUUCGGGGUACUCGAGUGGCGAACGGGUGAGUAACACGUGGGUGAUCUGCCCUGCACUCUGGGAUAAGCCUGGGAAACUGGGUCUAAUACCGGAUAGGACCACACACUUCAUGGUGAGUGGUGCAAAGCUUUUGCGGUGUGGGAUGAGCCCGCGGCCUAUCAGCUUGUUGGUGGGGUAAUGGCCCACCAAGGCGACGACGGGUAGCCGGCCUGAGAGGGUGACCGGCCACACUGGGACUGAGAUACGGCCCAGACUCCUACGGGAGGCAGCAGUGGGGAAUAUUGCACAAUGGGCGCAAGCCUGAUGCAGCGACGCCGCGUGAGGGAUGACGGCCUUCGGGUUGUAAACCUCUUUCAGUAGGGACGAAGCGAAAGUGACGGUACCUACAGAAGAAGGACCGGCCAACUACGUGCCAGCAGCCGCGGUAAUACGUAGGGUCCGAGCGUUGUCCGGAAUUACUGGGCGUAAAGAGCUCGUAGGUGGUUUGUCACGUUGUUCGUGAAAACCCACAGCUUAACUGUGGGCGUGCGGGCGAUACGGGCAGACUAGAGUACUGCAGGGGAGACUGGAAUUCCUGGUGUAGCGGUGGAAUGCGCAGAUAUCAGGAGGAACACCGGUGGCGAAGGCGGGUCUCUGGGCAGUAACUGACGCUGAGGAGCGAAAGCGUGGGUAGCGAACAGGAUUAGAUACCCUGGUAGUCCACGCCGUAAACGGUGGGUACUAGGUGUGGGUUUCCUUCCUUGGGAUCCGUGCCGUAGCUAACGCAUUAAGUACCCCGCCUGGGGAGUACGGUCGCAAGACUAAAACUCAAAGGAAUUGACGGGGGCCCGCACAAGCGGCGGAGCAUGUGGAUUAAUUCGAUGCAACGCGAAGAACCUUACCUGGGUUUGACAUGCACAGGACGUACCUAGAGAUAGGUAUUCCCUUGUGGCCUGUGUGCAGGUGGUGCAUGGCUGUCGUCAGCUCGUGUCGUGAGAUGUUGGGUUAAGUCCCGCAACGAGCGCAACCCUUGUCCUAUGUUGCCAGCGGGUAAUGCCGGGGACUCGUAGGAGACUGCCGGGGUCAACUCGGAGGAAGGUGGGGAUGACGUCAAGUCAUCAUGCCCCUUAUGUCCAGGGCUUCACACAUGCUACAAUGGCCAGUACAGAGGGCUGCGAAGCCGCAAGGUGGAGCGAAUCCCUUAAAGCUGGUCUCAGUUCGGAUUGGGGUCUGCAACUCGACCCCAUGAAGUCGGAGUCGCUAGUAAUCGCAGAUCAGCAACGCUGCGGUGAAUACGUUCCCGGGCCUUGUACACACCGCCCGUCACGUCAUGAAAGUCGGUAACACCCGAAGCCAGUGGCCUAACCUUUUGGAGGGAGCUGUCGAAGGUGGGAUCGGCGAUUGGGACG
rnacentral:rRNA from 2 species